AGAGGUCCCGCCUGCCCUGUGAUGUAUAUUUAACGGCCGCGGUAUUUUGACCGUGCAAAGGUAGCGCAAUCACUUGUCUUUUAAAUGAAGACCUGUAUGAAUGGCAUGACGAGGGCUUAACUGUCUCCUUUUUCCAGUCAAUGAAAUUGAUCUUCCCGUGCAGAAGCGGGAAUACAACCAUAAGACGAGAAGACCCUAUGGAGCUUUAAACAAAAACAGAUCUUGUUAAACAUAUCCAAACAAAGAAAUUAAACUAAAAGAACCCUGUUGUUNAUGUUUUUGGUUGGGGCGACCACGGGGAAACAAAUAACCCCCAUGUGGACUGAGAAAACAAUUCUCACAACAAAGAGCCACAGCUCUAAUUAACAGAACUUCUGACCUUNGAGAUCCGGCAAUGCCGAUCAACGGACCAAGUUACCCUAGGGAUAACAGCGCAAUCCUCUUUUAGAGUUCAUAUCGACAAGAGGGUUUACGACCUCGAUGUUGGAUCAGGACAUCCUAAUGGUGCAGCAGCUAUUAAGGG
rnacentral:rRNA from 1 species